rnacentral:rRNA from 1 species
UACAUGAAGCUGGAAUCGCUAGUAAUCGCGGAUCAGAAUGCCGCGGUGAAUACGUUCCCGGGUCUUGUACACACCGCCCGUCACACCAUGGGAGUCGGAAAUGCCCGAAGUCAGUGACCUAACCGAAAGGAAGGAGCUGCCGAAGGUGGAGCCGGCAACUGGGGUGAAGUCGUAACAAGGUACC